rnacentral:sRNA from 1 species
UGUUUAAUACAUUGCCAACGCGUUAAAU